GAUGAACGCUGGCGGCGUGCCUAAUACAUGCAAGUCGAGCGAACGGACGAGAAGCUUGCUUCUCUGAUGUUAGCGGCGGACGGGUGAGUAACACGUGGAUAACCUACCUAUAAGACUGGGAUAACUUCGGGAAACCGGAGCUACUACUGGAUAAUAUUUUGAACCGCAUGGUUCAAAAGUGAAAGACGGUCUUGCUGUCACUUAUAGAUGGAUCCGCGCUGCAUUAUCUAGUUGGUAAGGUAACGGCUUACCAAGGCAACGAUCCAUAGCCGACCUGAGAGGGUGAUCAGCCACACUGGAACUGAGACACGGUCCAGACUCCUACGGGAGGCAGCAGUAGGGAAUAUUCCGCAAUGGGCGAAAGCCUGACGCAGCAACGCCGCGUGAGUGAUGAAGGUCUUCGGAUCGUAAAACUCUGUUAUUAGGGAAGAACAUAUGUGGAAGUAAAUGUGGACAUUUUGACGGUACCUAAUCAGAAAGCCACGGCUAACUACGUG
rnacentral:rRNA from 1 species